AGCCAUAUGAAGAUAUCUAUGGUUUUACCUGCCCAAUGUGCAAAGACUUAAUCAAUGGCCGCGGUACUUUGACCGUGCUAAGGUAGCAUAAUCAUUUGGCUUUUAAAUGGAGUCGGGAAUGAAUGGAAUAACUGGGUUUAGCUGUCUCUAAAGUGAUUUAUUGAAUUUACUUUUCAAGUGAAAAAGCUUGAAUUUAUUAGGGGGACGAGAAGACCCUUAAAAUUUUUUAAAAUAAUAACUGUUGUUAUUUACUAUUUUGUUGGGGCGACAUGGGAGUAGUAAUAACCUCCUGUAAAAUUAUUAGACGGUAUUGUCAGGCGUAUAUAAAUUACUUAAGGGAUAACAGCAUAAUUCUAUAUUUGAGUUUGUGACCUCGAUGUUGGACUAGGAAGCUAGUGGGUUAGAUGCUCACUUUGGGGAUUCUGUUCGAAUUUUAACUCCU
rnacentral:rRNA from 1 species